rnacentral:rRNA from 1 species
UACAGAGGGGGCAAGCGUUGUUCGGAAUUACUGGGCGUAAAGGGCGCGUAGGCGGCCCGCUAAGCCGAACGUGAAAUCCCCGAGCUCAACUCGGGAACUGCGUCCGAUACUGGUGGGCUUGAAUCCGGGAGAGGGAUGCGGAAUUCCAGGUGUAGCGGUGAAAUGCGUAGAUAUCUGGAGGAACACCGGUGGCGAAGGCGGCAUCCUGGACCGGCAUUGACGCUGAGGCGCGAAAGCUAGGGGAGCAAACGGG